rnacentral:rRNA from 1 species
UACGUAGGGUGCGAGCGUUGUCCGGAAUUAUUGGGCGUAAAGGGCUCGUAGGCGGUUUGUCGCGUCGGGAGUGAAAACCCAGGGCUUAACUCUGGGCUUGCUUUCGAUACGGGCGAGCUAGAGUUCGGCAGGGGAGACUGGAAUUCCUGGUGUAGCGGUGGAAUGCGCAGAUAUCAGGAGGAACACCGGUGGCGAAGGCGGGUCUCUGGGCCGAUACUGACACUGAGAAGCGAAAGCGUGGGGAGCGAACAGG